AAGAUUGAGCAAAUUUUUCCACCUAAAGUCAAAUUGGUUAAAAUUGUUAAUAUAUUUUAAUUAAUAAUUUGGAAUUCUUUCAUUUUUUAGUUGGAUUUAGUUUGUGAAAUCGGCGGAUCUGAGGUAGAAUUUUAUAUUAAAGGCUCUAUUUACGGCUUUAUUUACAAGUGAAAUCUUUUUAAACAGUGAAAUAGUUAUUAACCCAUUGAUGCCAAAAGCGUCGUUUUUUGAUCCGGUCUAAAACUUUUAAAUUUGGAAGAUUUUCUUGUUUCUUUAAACUUUUUUCAAUAUUCUUAUUAAACUAAAUUCUUAUUUGAGCAGUGCAUAUUGGGUUAUAUUUUAUCUUUUUGUUCUUGCACUUUAUAUACUUUUAAUUUAGCAAGCGUGCAUUGUGGUUUAUAUCGGUUCAGCAGUAUCCUUAAGCAAACUUAUUGCUAUCCUUAAGCAAACUUAUUGCUCAAGACCCUGCUGGAUCUACCCUAGCUCUGUUCAACCCCGAUCAGCGAAACAAUUUUUGAAACCGCUGUGCUGUUAUCAAUCUGUGAACUGAUCGGAACCCUUUCUAAGAAGAUUGUAUUUAUUAAUAAAGAUUUACGUUACUUAA
rnacentral:lncRNA from 1 species